GAAAAAACUGGACAGAAAUUUAUAGAAAACAAAAGGCAUAAAGUUAGGAUAGCGAAUAAAAAGUUAAUUUAAAAGGCAAUUUUUCUUAGCAAAUUAAGAAAACAAAAAUAUGCUUUACUUUCAUUUAAUUUAAUUUAACAUAUGAAAAACAUAUUACUAGAUUAAUUAUACUGCAUGAAGUUUGAUUAUUUAAUCUUUACAAGAAAGUUCAAUUUCCUCUGAUGAACAUAAGGGAGAGUUGCUAGUUCACAAGGCUCCUCACUUUGUAAGGGCUAGGAAAGGGUUGUCUACCCAAAGUAAAGUAAGCUUCUCCCUAAAUUUUGCAGAUUUGUUUCCAUGACUUGACACCAUAAACUUCCAGUCCCCACAGAGCAACUUUAACAUUACACCAAGCCUUGCCCACUCCAAUGAAUACUGAACUUUAAAAAAGAUAAUAAAAAACUAUUCAACUUAAUGUAUAAAUUAAUAGCUGCAUGUAAAGCAUGGGCAAUUACCUCGUGCACUCAAUAAGUCAUAAAAUUUUUCUAUAUCGAGAAACAAGGGAAGUUCAGUAUUUCUGAAACUUAAAAUGUCUUGAUGGAAAUCCUAUUCCAAAUAUAAUUGGUUUUAUAAGAAGCAAGACUGCCUAGUAUUUGAUUUACUGACUCACUUUUUGACCAAAUAUACCAGUAAAAACUACUAACUAUCCAUUAAAGAAGAAUUUAAGGAUCAUAAAACUAACAUCAGGUUUCUUCAGCUAGCAAUAAAUUUUAGGUGCAUGCAGAAGUAAAUAAUCAAUCGGAUUUCUUAAAAAGCAACUCGUGUGUGUGACUGUGAUUACGGAAAUAAAAACAGAUACCUUACCAAAGAAUAAGAUUUUAUGACAAAUUUUGCAUUGCAGUUUGAUCUACAAAUAAGUUUCUUCUUCUUUACUUCUCACAGUGAUUUAAGUAGAAUGAGAGAAC
rnacentral:misc_RNA from 1 species